UCCCUGGUGGUUCAGGUGGUAAAGCGUCUGCCUGCAGUGCAGGAGACCCGGGUUUGAUCCCUGGGUUGGGAA
rfam:TPA: Bos taurus chromosome 9, whole genome shotgun sequence.